rnacentral:rRNA from 1 species
UACGUAGGGGGCGAGCGUUGUCCGGAAUCAUUGGGCGUAAAGCGCGUGUAGGCGGUUCGGUAAGUCUGCUGUGAAAGUCCAGGGCUCAACCCUGGGAUGCCGGUGGAUACUGCCGAACUAGAGUGCGGAAGAGGCGAGUGGAAUUCCCGGUGUAGCGGUGAAAUGCGCAGAUAUCGGGAGGAACACCAAUUGCGAAGGCAGCUCGCUGGGACGUGACUGACGCUGAGACGCGAAAGCGUGGGGAGCAAACAGG